rnacentral:rRNA from 1 species
GACGUAGGGCGCGAGCGUUGUCCGGAUUUAUUGGGCGUAAAGAGCUCGUAGGCGGUUUGUCGCGUCGUCUGUGAAAACCCACGGCUCAACUGUGGGCUUGCAGUCGAUACGGGCAGGCUAGAGUUCGGUAGGGGAGACUGGAAUUCCUGGUGUAGCGGUGAAAUGCGCAGAUAUCAGGAGGAACACCGAUGGCGAAGGCAGGUCUCUGGGCCAUAACUGACGCUGAGAAGCGAAAGCAUGGGGGAGCGAACAGG